rnacentral:rRNA from 1 species
AUUGAACGCUGGCGGCAGGCCUAACACAUGCAAGUCGAGCGAGCGGCGGACGGGUGAGUAAUGUCUGGGAAACUGCCUGAUGGAGGGGGAUAACUACUGGAAACGGUAGCUAAUACCGCAUACCAUCAGAUGUGCCCAGAUGGGAUUAGCUAGUAGGUGGGGUAACGGCUCACCUGGGCGACGAUCCCUAGCUGGUCUGAGAGGAUGACCAGCCCCACGGGAACUGAGAAAGGGUCAGGACUCCUAGGGGGGGCAGCAGGGGGGAGUAUUGCACAAUGGGCGCAAGCCUGAGGCAGCCAUGCCGGGUGUGUGAAGAAGGCCUUGGGGUUGAAAAGCACUUUCAGCGGGGAGGCUUUACCCGCAGAAGAAGCACCGGCUAACUCCGUGCCAGCGGCCGCGGAAAUA